GAUGAACGCUGGCGGCGUGCCUAAUACAUGCAAGUCGAGCGGAGCGGGGACGGGUGUGUAACACGUGGAGAACCUCCUCUAUGACUGGGAUAAAUUCGGGAAAACGGAGCUAAACCGGCUACUUAGAGCUGGUUCCGCGCUGUAUUAGCUAGUUGGUAGGGUAACGGCUUACAAAGGCAACGAUGCAUAGCCGACCUGAGAGGGUGAUCGGCCAAACUGGAACUGAGACACGGUCCAGACUCCUACGGGAGGCAGCAGUAGGGAAUCUUCCGCAAUGGGCAAAAGCCUGAUGGAACAACGCCGCGUGAGUGAGGAAGGUCUUCGGAUCGUAAAACACUGUCAUUAGGGAAGCGGUACCUAAACAGAAAGCAACGGCUAACUACGUGCCAGCAGCCGCGGUAAUUC
rnacentral:rRNA from 1 species